GACGUGACCAACACCCGAUGCCUUAAACUUAUCCCAUAUUCAUGGUACCAUAUUCUACUUAUUUUUGACGUUGUAUGGGUCACACAAGCCCGGAAUUACUUUAAUUGCAUUGUCGUUAAACUUGUAAUUAAUCUAUUUUAAAUAUAAAAAUUUGUGCUACCUUACCAAUAAUAUGUACAAUUAUCCUAACAUUAAGCCUGGUCAUGUGCAUAUAUAAUAUUGAUCAUCUACAAAAUUGUUUUCAAAGUGACUUUGUGAGGUAAAAAGUGUUAAAACCAUUCAUAAUACAAAAAUCAAAGAUAGGAAUAUAAUUUUAAUAUUUAAUGGUAAGUCGUUUAAGUUUUUUUUUUUUUUUUUUUGACAUGAAAUAUUGGAGGGAAAGUAAAAUAACAAAAGUUGACUUUCAAUUAUUUUGGCUUCCCUCUAAUAUUUUGGUGUAAAAUUCCCUAUGUCACCCAUUCCCCAUAUUCCCUCCCUGUAACCCACGACCAACCCCACUCAGAUAAACUUGAAGUAUCCAAUUCAAAUGCCAAUACAUACACUCCAAAGAAAAAAGAAUUCCCUGCAUGUAUUUCUGUUUUUUUUCUCUCUCAAUGUCUUGCUAUUUCCCCACCUGAUGGUCAUCCAACAAUCGCUUUAGCAUAAGGAACAGUUAUUCUAUGGAGUUUUCAACUCCAGCACAUAAUUUGUCUUAAUGGAGGAAUUCUUAACAUCCUUUUAAUAAGGAGGUACAUGAAGGUGCAAAAAAUGUCUCAAGAGUGAAGUUUUUAGUUUAAAGAUGUUGCAUUAGCACAUGAGGAAGCAACAUAUUUUUUCUUUUUCAAUUUACCAUUCUUCAUGUAUUUCAAUUAGAUUUUUUAUGAUUAGUGAUUUCACUCUAUUUACUCAAUUUUGGACCCAUAUGUUAUCGCAUAAUUAUAGAUGUAAUUAGCAGUUGGUUU